AAGCCUUAAUCUAUGCCACCGGGACAGCUGAUAAGUGCUGAGCGUGGGUGCACAGUGUUUCAAAAGCACUUUUUUACUGAUUUUUCAACCUCAGCUGUGCCACGCAAAGCAGCUGAGGUUGAAGAAGCAGGAAAUAAAG